AACGAACGCUGGCGGCAGGCUUAACACAUGCAAGUCGAACGCCCUGCCAGGGGAGUGGCCGACGGGUGAGUAACGCGUGGGAACAUACCCUUUCCUGCGGAAUAGCUCCGGGAAACUGGAAUUAAUACCGCAUACGCCCUACGGGGGAAAGAUUUAUCGGGGAAGGAUUGGCCCGCGUUGGAUUAGCUAGUUGGUGGGGUAAAGGCCUACCAAGGCGACGAUCCAUAGCUGGUCUGAGAGGAUGAUCAGCCACAUUGGGACUGAGACACGGCCCAAACUCCUACGGGAGGCAGCAGUGGGGAAUAUUGGACAAUGGGCGCAAGCCUGAUCCAGCCAUGCCGCGUGAGUGAUGAAGGCCUUAGGGUUGUAAAGCUCUUUCACCGAUGAAGAUAAUGACGGUAGUCGGAGAAGAAGCCCCGGCUAACUUCGUG
rnacentral:rRNA from 1 species